rnacentral:rRNA from 1 species
GAACCGUCCAAACGUUAUUCGGAAUCACUGGGCUUAAAGGGUGCGUAGGCGGCCUGGUAAGUUGGGUGUGAAAUCCCUCGGGCUCAACCGAGGGAAUGGCGCCCAAUACUGCCAGGCUAGAGGGAGACAGAGGUGGGCGGAACUUGCGGUGGAGCGGUGAAAUGCGUUGAUAUCGCAAGGAACACCAGUAGCGAAAGCGGCUCACUGGGUCUCUUCUGACGCUCAGGCACGAAAGCUAGGGUAGCGAACGGGAUUAGAUACCCCGGUAGUCCUAGCUGUAAACGUUGAGCACUGGGUUGGAGGCUCCUCCAUAGGCUUCCAGCCGUAGCGAAAGUGUUAAGUGCUCCGCCUGGGGAGUAUGGUCGCAAGGCUG